AUUGAACGCUGGCGGCAGGCUUAACACAUGCAAGUCGAACGGUAACAGGAAGCAGCUUGCUGCUUUGCUGACGAGUGGCGGACGGGUGAGUAAUGUCUGGGAAACUGCCUGAUGGAGGGGGAUAACUACUGGAAACGGUAGCUAAUACCGCAUAACGUCGCAAGACCAAAGAGGGGGACCUUCGGGCCUCUUGCCAUCGGAUGUGCCCAGAUGGGAUUAGCUAGUAGGUGGGGUAACGGCUCACCUAGGCGACGAUCCCUAGCUGGUCUGAGAGGAUGACCAGCCACACUGGAACUGAGACACGGUCCAGACUCCUACGGGAGGCAGCAGUGGGGAAUAUUGCACAAUGGGCGCAAGCCUGAUGCAGCCAUGCCGCGUGUAUGAAGAAGGCCUUCGGGUUGUAAAGUACUUUCAGCGGGGAGGAAGGGAGUAAAGUUAAUACCUUUGCUCAUUGAC
rnacentral:rRNA from 1 species